UUCGCCCUUAGAGUUUGAUCCUGGCUCAGGACGAACGCUGGCGGCGCGCCUAACACAUGCAAGUCGAACGAGCGAGAGGAGGUUUGCUUUCUCAAGCGAGUGGCGAACGGGUGAGUAACGCGUGAGGAACCUGCCUCAAAGAGGGGGACAACAGUUGGAAACGACUGCUAAUACCGCAUAAGCCCACGACCCGGCAUCGGGUAGAGGGAAAAGGAGCAAUCCGCUUUGAGAUGGCCUCGCGUCCGAUUAGCUAGUUGGUGAGGUAAUGGCCCACCAAGGCGACGAUCGGUAGCCGGACUGAGAGGUUGAACGGCCACAUUGGGACUGAGACACGGCCCAGACUCCUACGGGAGGCAGCAGUGGGGAAUAUUGCACAAUGGGGGAAACCCUGAUGCAGCGACGCCGCGUGGAGGAAGAAGGUCUUCGGAUUGUAAACUCCUGUUGUUGAGGAAGAUAAUGACGGUACUCAACAAGGAAGUGACGGCUAACUACGUGCCAGCAGCCGCGGUAAAACGUAGGUCACAAGCGUUGUCCGGAAUUACUGGGUGUAAAGGGAGCGCAGGCGGGAAGACAAGUUGGAAGUGAAAUCCAUGGGCUCAACCCAUGAACUGCUUUCAAAACUGUUUUUCUUGAGUAGUGCAGAGGUAGGCGGAAUUCCCGGUGUAGCGGUGGAAUGCGUAGAUAUCGGGAGGAACACCAGUGGCGAAGGCGGCCUACUGGGCACCAACUGACGCUGAGGCUCGAAAGUGUGGGUAGCAAACAGGAUUAGAUACCCUGGUAGUCCACACUGUAAACGAAGAUUACUAGGUGUUGGGAGGAUUGACCCCUUCAGUGCCGCAGUUAACACAAUAAGUAAUCCACCUGGGGAGUACGACCGCAAGGUUGAAACUCAAAGGAAUUGACGGGGGCCCGCACAAGCAGUGGAGUAUGUGGUUUAAUUCGACGCAACGCGAAGAACCUUACCAAGUCUUGACAUCCUGCGACGGACAUAGAAAUAUGUUUUUCCUUCGGGACGCAGAGACAGGUGGUGCAUGGUUGUCGUCAGCUCGUGUCGUGAGAUGUUGGGUUAAGUCCCGCAACGAGCGCAACCCUUAUGGUCAGUUACUACGCAAGAGGACUCUGGCCAGACUGCCGUUGACAAAACGGAGGAAGGUGGGGAUGACGUCAAAUCAUCAUGCCCUUUAUGACUUGGGCUACACACGUACUACAAUGGCGUUAAACAAAGAGAAGCAAGACCGCGAGGUGGAGCAAAACUCAGAAACAACGUCCCAGUUCGGACUGCAGGCUGCAACUCGCCUGCACGAAGUCGGAAUUGCUAGUAAUCGCAGAUCAGCAUGCUGCGGUGAAUACGUUCCCGGGCCUUGUACACACCGCCCGUCA
rnacentral:rRNA from 1 species